CCUACGGGAGGCAGCAGUGGGGAAUAUUGGGCAAUGGGCGCAAGCCUGACCCAGCAACGCCGCGUGAAGGAAGAAGGCUUUCGGGUUGUAAACUUCUUUUCUCAGGGACGAAGCAAGUGACGGUACCCCUUGAAUAAGCCACGGCUAACUACGUGCCAGCAGCCGCGGUAAUACGUAGGUGGCAAGCGUUGUCCGGAUUUACUGGGUGUAAAGGGCGUGCAGCCGGAGAGACAAGUCAGAUGUGAAAUCCACGGGCUCAACCCGUGAACUGCAUUUGAAACUGUUUCCCUUGAGUGUCGGAGAGGUAAUCGGAAUUCCUUGUGUAGCGGUGAAAGGCGUAGAUAUAAGGAAGAACACCAGUGGCGAAGGCGGAUUACUGGACGAUAACUGACGGUGAGGCGCGAAAGCGUGGGGAGCAAACAGGAUUAGAUACCCGGGUAGUC
rnacentral:rRNA from 1 species